CAUGCAAGUCGAACGAUGAAACUCUAGCUUGCUAGAGAUGAUUAGUGGCGGACGGGUGAGUAACAUUUAGGAAUCUGCCUAGUAGUGGGGGAUAGCUCGGGGAAACUCGAAUUAAUACCGCAUACGACCUACGGGUGAAAGGGGGCGCAAGCUCUUGCUAUUAGAUGAGCCUAAAUCAGAUUAGCUAGUUGGUGGGGUAAAGGCCCACCAAGGCGACGAUCUGUAACUGGUCUGAGAGGAUGAUCAGUCACACCGGAACUGAGACACGGUCCGGACUCCUACGGGAGGCAGCAGUGGGGAAUAUUGGACAAUGGGGGCAACCCUGAUCCAGCCAUGCCGCGUGUGUGAAGAAGGCCUUUUGGUUGUAAAGCACUUUAAGCAGGGAGGAGAGGCUAAUGGUUAAUACCCAUUAGAUUAGACGUUACCUGCAGAAUAAGCACCGGCUAA
rnacentral:rRNA from 1 species